rnacentral:lncRNA from 1 species
GAAGAGAUCUUGAGGUUCGAUUGGUCUUGAUUCAACAGAAUUUUGAUUCCACCAUUGAUGCUUCCAUAGCUUCAAGUAUGAACAAAGUGCACGAAAUCUCUUGAAUCUACCUUCAAUCUUGCUCCAUGAUGAUUCCAGAUGAUGAAUUAGGCAAUGAAUUGUGGUUUGAUUUGAAGAAAUUUGAAGAAAAAUUGAGAGAAAGUUUGAGAGAAAUUUUGAGAUCUGAAAAUUGUGAUGUGUU